ACUAAUGCACAUAUGCAUAUCACUUGCAUAGGAACACAACACACACGCGAAUACGCGACGCGGAACACCAUUCUUAAACAUACUUAUUUAAUAUCGAUGUUAAAGCUUCCAAUGUUCGAAGAAGACUAACGACAAAUAGGAAAAUAUCUGCGCAGUAUUCACGACAAACAACGAAAGUACACGAAAAUCAACGUAAUUCUUAAUAGGAUAUAGAAACCGUUUGAAGGAUAAGAGAAAGGCGUGGAACGGAAGUGGUACGAAGAGAGUUGGUGGGUACUGGGCACCCAACGAGUGGACCAUUUUAACCCCUUUUCCUCGCGAAACAUAAAUAAUGAUCGUCGCUAAUUUGGCUUCCUGGGCGUAGAAGUAGCAGCAGAACCAGAACCAGCAACAGCAGCAGCAGCAGCAGCAGCUAACUCAGCUUCCCUUUGGCCGGUUUACAA
rnacentral:lncRNA from 1 species